GUUACUCCAUGUCAUUCAGGAUGCAGUUGCUGGCCUAGAUAGCAAGGCGCUCUUCAAAAUUUUAAUCAUACCAUCUCUUCUCCCAGUUGCUCCCAAUCCCAAACAUUUGGAAGGCAUGUAUAUAUGUACUGAGGUUUUAAGCAUACUAGUCCACAAGUAUCCAUAGAUUGACGAGGCUUCCUGAUAUUGUGCAAGCCUCUGUUACAUACUCUACACUGAUCUACAUUCCUAUAACAACAUUUAUAUUGCAUAGUGCUGUGGAAAAGAACAAGAGAGGAUGCUUGUACAAGUUUAGUUGUUUGGUUGGUCAUUGAAUACGAGUUACUAUGGUUUGGUUAACGCCUUGUGGUAAAAGAACAGAAAAAAUAUGAGUGAUCACCUCUUCUAGGUUGGAAUGACAUUCUGUAGCAGCACUUUGGGUGAUCAAAAUAAGAUACUUUUUGUGUCAUAAGAACUAUAUUUUUGUUGCGAAGAAGUCCAAGUGGCCUGUCUUACUUGGAAUAAACAUGAUACUAUUUUUAAUCAAAGCGAUUAAAUUUCACUGAGCUUUAUGAAUGCUCCCAUUUGGUCGACGUAGUACAGGUAGACUAAGGAAAUUAGAAGCAGGUUUAAUCCCUUUCUUCCCGAACCCACAAGCCAAUCCUCCAACUAACUGACGAAAUGGACACGAGGCCGUCCAUCAUCAAAUUCUGUUCAGACCUAUUUGUCAUAGUUGUAUAAUGUUGAUUUCACUCUCGGCUGGGAUGCAGCAUUGUGAUGUCAACACUCUGCAGAUUUAACCCCUUUCAGGGCCUUCAUUAGUAGACCUUGUGAAAACAUGGACUAGUUUAACCCCUUUCAGCAUUGUGAAACAGACAGGAAGCUGAUACGCGUAACUGAACUUGUGAAAGUAAUUUAUAUCGUGGACUAGAUUAAUGCGAUGAAAAUUGUGAAAAUCGGCGUUCUUGGAAGGAUAUCAGCUUAUUAGGAGAGAAGCAUUGCAAGUUCAUAAGUCGUCUAAGGCUCUAAGCUGGGAAACCGAAACCGUGGUCUCAGCAGCAGAUGGCACACUGACAUGGUCUCAGAGUUAGAUAGCAGAUUAAACACGGAGGCUGAGACAUUAGCUGUAUUCUCGUAAUUUCAGAGAAUUGGAUCCUAAAGCUAACAAUGUAACGAGCUAGGUUUUCUUGUCUGAUUUUUCAAGAUUCAAAGCGGAGCAGCUAACCUAUACUUAAAGUGAGAAUCCGCUGCAGCAAUAUUAGCUGUUGCGCCGGCGAUGGAACAGCUCCUCUUUGCACAGUCCAUGCGCAUCGCCUAGCAGAUUUUUUUUUGAAGAACAGGAGGGGUUUGGGAACCCUACUGAUUAUAUAUUAUAGCCAAGAAAUAAAACAUGCGGAGUUACAGGAUUACAAAAAUAAAAGGGAGGGGGGAUUGGAUGGUUACAAGAAGUGCUACUGAAGUUACAGCGUGUGGAGCCACACCUCCAUUGAUUGUACUAGCCUCGGACGUGCUUUGUGGAGGAGUAGAGAGAAUUCAGAGACGAAUUUAUCCCUGCAAUUUUGUGGUGAGGGGUCGACUGAGUUGAACAUCCAAUUGUUUCUUGUGGUCCAAAUACUCCAUGCCAUCAAAAUUAUUAUUUCCAUGUAGAAUGGGACUCCCAGCUUGUCUUUAAUCUGUCUGAUGAUAUUCCUUUGUGUUCUGGAGGAUAUGUAGCUGACCCUAAUGGAGUUCCAACAUGCUUUGGCAAAGUUGCAGCGAAAGAAAAGAUGAUUGACUAUUUCCCUGCGCUGCAAUAUGCAUAGUUCACAAGUAUAAAAGUCCAGCUCUAUGUGCCUUCUUCUUAAGAGGUCUCUUGUACUGAUCCUGUCCUUCAGCAAUAGCAAAAAAAGACCUUGUGCUUCAUCUGGUACCUUGACUUCCAUAUCCAACGAAAGGCUGGAUGUACUGGUCUUUGGCCUAUGAUGGCUUUGUAUGCUUUGGCCGUUGAAAAGAGAGUUGUUCCCCGGAUGUAUGUAGGCCCAUUUCUCACAACUUGUUUCCGGGUUCAUGGAGGUGAGGCGCUGCUGUAGGUCGUUAAAUUGGGUAUAUGCCUGUGUGGAGAGGGGCAG
rnacentral:lncRNA from 1 species